CUUAACGCGUGUAGUCUGCUGUCUACUUUUCCUCGCUAGAUAGUCCGUCCUCGUUAGAUUUUACUUCUUGACCUCUAUAUAAUCUAAUUUGUUUAAUUCUGAUCUACAUUUUUUCUUUCCCGGGUCACAAGUGUGAAGGACAUUUUGCCAGAGUCUCCACAAGCUGGUGGGGGCGACGGUAGUAGUCCGUUGACGUCACAAAUAUGGAGCAGGGGGACAUUUCUCGAAGGAUUGCCCAUAAUAGGGUCGCGGCGGUGGUGGAAGUCGUACCUGCCAUGAGAUAAACGAAAAACAAAAAGAACAUCAUUUUUAGUGCUCAUUUUUAACGAAGAAGAGGGAAAUGUAGCAAGGGAUUUUCCUCAAGGAGGAAGCAUUGGUGGCAGCAACUGUUACACUUUAAACAUCAAUUGUAUCUUCACAAAAAUAUUUUAUCUUCCAGUGUUCAUUGUUUUACUCCUAGUGUGAUGAAGCUGGCCACACCCCGAAAGGCUGCCAGAAUCUCUUCAUUGAAUUGACGGAAGAUGGAAAGCCACAUGAGCAAUACGUUCCGGAAGCUGUGACAUGUGGUGAAAAGGAACUGUUUAAGGGCAUCAUCUGUGUGGGAAUGCUUUAACAAUUUUGAUAAAGUCGUCCUUCAUGUAAGCCAUUUCUCGAAACUGUAUUUAAAAAAAAUAUCUAUUGGGUUUGCUUUAGGCUACAGGAAAAGAUGUACGUCAAUACAUAACAUCAUUCGAAGAA